rnacentral:lncRNA from 1 species
UAACACCCUACCCUAGGGCAGUAGUGAGCUCACCCAGCUUAACUGUUUGCUGGAACUUUCAUCUCCUGCCGGCCUUGCCCUGCUGCCCCUUAGUGCGCCACCUGGGAUUUCUUGUUCCUGAUGGGGAGUCUAAGGGCCAGGGUGGAGGUGUUCAGGAGGAUCCCCUAAGGAAGGUUAGAUAAGAGUAUGAUGAAUGAGACCAGCGCUGUGGGAAGAGAGCGAGUGCUGGAGGCAGUUGUGGAAAGGGAGCAGCCCAGGGUAGAGAGAAACAGAAAAGGACAAGAGGCAAAAGUGGCAAGGCCAGCCAUCACAGAACAGGGCUGGGUGAUGGGUGGUGAAACUGAGACCCAGAGAGACCAGCCAUCCCGGAAGAGAGAAUGGAUCUCCAAAGGCCACACAGAGAGCUGAGGAGGAAGCACAGGAAACAACCCAGUAAGAGGAGGCCACAGGCCUUCAGUCCAAACUCAACCCUCUCCUACCACCCACCAUGUACUGCAACUGCUUCUCGGAAGGCAUCCGGGCUGCCCCUGUCAACUACUGGAUCUCAGGUCUGGCCUUCCCGGAUUGGGCCUACAAAGCCGAGUCGUCGCCAGGUUCCCGGCAGAUCCAGCUGUGGCACUUCAUCCUGGAACUGCUGCAGAAGGAAGAGUUCCGCCAUGUCAUCGCCUGGCAGCAGGGAGAGUACGGGGAGUUUGUCAUCAAG